AUGGUACUUGUCAGUGUGCUGCAAAUGGAAACCACCUCUAUGUUGAAAUUAUCCUUCUACAACAUGUCCUACUUGAAACACACAAUACCAAGUUCACUUUCCAGAUCAGGAGGACUUGAUUGUGGAUGUACAGAGGUUAAGCAAAAGCUUCUCUCUCCCACUUCCACCCUUGUAGUACCUCUGAAUGGAUGUAAACUCUGCUCUGGGGUUCAAAAUAUAUGUAUGUAAACAGUUUUUAAAUUUUGUAUUAUGUGUUUUAUUAUGUCAUGUUAUUGUUUUUAUAAGAACUGUUGUUUUAAUGUAUUGUGUAAGGAAUUGAAUUCUUGCCUAUUAUUGUAAGCCGCCUUGAGUCCCCUCAGGUGAGAAAGUUGGGGUAGAAAUGCUGUAAAUAAAUAAACAAAUAAUAAAUUAGCAUUUUGCCAGUAGGUCCGAACUUCCAUGAGGCACAUGUAAAAGCCUCCUGGUGAAAAUG
rnacentral:lncRNA from 1 species